rnacentral:rRNA from 1 species
AUGUGUUGGAGUACUACUAGCAUCGCUUCGGACAAGAAAAGGCGGAGGAGUGCGUGCGUGCGUUGGGCGCAGUCUAGGAAACACGUCAAAUUCUCAGAGGCUUCAAGACUGAAGCGGCGGAAAAGGAUGCUCGAAAGUGGAACCGAUCACCCAGGAGGAAAUGCGCAGCAAGCAACCGACGAAGACAACAUAUAUAUAGGUCAAACUUUGAGGGGACAAGAAGGAGAACCCGGCGAAAGUUGGAAAGAGGCAGAUCAGAUCGACCGAACCGUUCAACCGAGGCAGACGGAGAAUCAAAAACAAAACCAACAAGAACGCACCGGCCAGGGCGGAAAUGGAAGGUAG